AAGACAGGAAGUAUGUGUAGAAUUCUACAGCAAAGCAAGUAUAAAAGGGUGGAAGAGAAGAAGGCUGAAGGUAUCACUGUUCCCACAGAAUGUGCCAUUUAAGUACAAAGAAGGUCAAGAAGGAAGUGGCAUCAGAUUUUCACAGCAUGAUGGAAGAAAUUGCUCUGCCUCAUGUGCACACCUAGAGGAUGGUAGGAAGGGGCAGUUACAUUCCACAGACACUCUUGCUAAGCAAGCGUAUCUUCAACAAGGAAAAAGUGUUUGUACGUCCUUAAUGAAGUAAAAACACCACAGCAUUAUGCAGAAAUCAUCACUGAAAUCUAAGAGGACACAACAAUCUAAUGAAGUCACUGUUCUUUGCUUGAAAAUGUUAGCCUAGCAUUGUGAUGUUUUGAUGGACAAUAUGUAAUGAUCAUUUGAGUAUCAACUGUUCCAUUAAAAAAAAAAAAAAAGAGUGGAAAGAGGAGAUGUUGUCAAGGUGUGGUCUACUUGUAAGAUGCUAAAUGUACAUUUCACACAAUAGUACAUAAAAAUGUUAGAAGGGACUUCUUGAGGUCAUACAGCCCAC
ensembl:lncRNA